rnacentral:rRNA from 1 species
UACGUUGGGUGCAAGCGUUAAUCGGAAUUACUGGGCGUAAAGCGUGCGCAGGCGGUUAUGUAAGACAGAUGUGAAAUCCCCGGGCUCAACCUGGGAACUGCAUUUGUGACUGCAUAGCUAGAGUACGGUAGAGGGGGAUGGAAUUCCGCGUGUAGCAGUGAAAUGCGUAGAUAUGCGGAGGAACACCGAUGGCGAAGGCAAUCCCCUGGACCUGUACUGACGCUCAUGCACGAAAGCGUGGGGAGCAAACAGG